CCCCUCUCAGGGUCGCAACUGGAGAGUUUCUGGUACCUUAUCAGUCUUGACUAUGGGAGGGAGAGUCAAGCAGAGGCAGAGCCAUUCCAUUCCUAGCUUGGUCAGUGGCUAAUGAGUGGAAGGCAAUCUGCUACAACU